AAAACAUAAUAGACGAGAUAAGAAUUCUCUAAUUGAUUUUUGAUAAGAAAAAACGAUGGAGACGCGUGAAGUGACGGUAACCACAAACGCACCGAGCCGUAAAAGAUAGGCCCAAAUCCAUAUUCCAUUAUUUACUCUCUUUUUUUUUUUUUGUCAUUUUAAUUAAUUACUCAAUUUGUAUAACUGUUAUUAUCUAUUUAUCCUAUUUGUAUAAUGGACAUUAUGUAAAGAUGACGUUAUGACGACGUCAAGAAUGAACUAAGAUUUCAAGAAUGAAAUUAUUACUACUAUACC
rnacentral:lncRNA from 1 species